rnacentral:lncRNA from 1 species
CUGAGCCCUUGUUUUGGCGCUAUCUGCAAGUUUUCUACAUUGAGUACAUGUGAUGUUUAUGACAAGAACAGAAGAAUGGUGAUCAUCAUGGGCCCUGAGUCUGCCAGGUGACACCGGGCGCUCUUCGUUUCAUCUCUCAGAGACGUCAGCCUUGCUGCCAAGCCUCACAGAUGAGAAAACUGACCUGAGUCUGACCCAAUUACAAGAGAGCAGAUCCAGGAUUCAAGGUAAAGUCCUUCUAACUCCAAAGCCCGUCAUGCUUGUAACCAGCACACUGAUGUUUCCCAAACUGUAGUCAUUUUCGUACCAGUGUCACUAUUCUUACCAAAGCUUUUUACCAUGCAUACUCCAAUUGUUCAAUGUUUUUAUUUCUCAGCUUGCUUUUUUUCCAGUUAAAUACACUUAGCUUCA